rnacentral:rRNA from 1 species
GGGGAAUAUUGCACAAUGGGGGAAACCCUGAUGCAGCGACGCCGCGUGAGUGAAGAAGUAUUUCGGUAUGUAAAGCUCUAUCAGCAGGGACGAUAAUGACGGUACCUGACUAAGAAGCCCCGGCUAACUACGUGCCAGCAGCCGCGGUAAUACGUAGGGGGCAAGCGUUAUCCGGAUUUACUGGGUGUAAAGGGAGCGUAGGUGGCUGGAUAAGUCAGAUGUGAAAGCCCAGGGCUCAACCCUGGGACUGCAUUUGAAACUAUCUGGCUAGAGUGCAGGAGAGGUAAGUGGAAUUCCUAGUGUAGCGGUGAAAUGCGUAGAUAUUAGGAGGAACACCAGUGGCGAAGGCGGCUUACUGGACUGUAACUGACACUGAGGCUCGAAAGCGUGGGGAGCAAAC